rnacentral:rRNA from 1 species
GACUACUGGAAUUCACCAUGAAUGGACCCAAUUCCACCAGAUCUCAGAUACUAAGCGGGUUUGUGCCUUGUUAGCACUCGGAUGGGAGACUGCCUGGGAAUGCUACAUGCUGUGGCCU